GUGAGGCUUGGAGGCCCUCUCGUCAAAACUUCGGAGGGCUCUGUCAGUUUGAAAAGAACAUGACCUUUAAAUUGUAUCAGUAUGUUUGCUGGUGCAUAAGGGAAAGGAAAAGGUUCGUCCUGAUGGAAAACCACUGGGAGACCAAGGAGUAAUUCAGAGGGAACCGGCCCAGGAAGUUAAUUUGUUUAUACAUAAUUCGCUAAGUGGGGCGAGAUGGGGUCCCUGCACCUGCUGGCCACACAGGGCCGAUAGUCCGAGUCUGGGGACACAGCCCAUCUUGGGGUGUUUUUCUUUCCACUGCUUCUCCCGUCUGAGUCACAGAUGUUGUUCUCAGAACAGGCAAGCCAGUAAACUCCUGUGAGUGCAACUGAGGGACAGCCUUUAAGAAAGAAUUUUCUUCUCUACCACUGUCAGCUCUGGAGCUGAAUUAUUAACUUCCGGUGGCAUUAGCAAGGGCCAUCCUGGUUCUGUGCAACCGCAGCAGGAAGGUGAGGACUGGUUUUGAAAAAGUUCAUUAAAAACUGCUUUGUAGAGAUUGAGACCUGAUUUUAUUUUGAAAGCUUUAUUAGAAUAGAAAGAGUUCAGGAAGCCCAUCUGUUUUACACACACACACACACACACACACACAGACACACACACACACACACGUGUGUAUAUCCUUUCUGUCUAUUGUAUAUAAUUUUCAUUACGUUGAUUUGUGUAAUUUUCUUUUAAGUUGCAUGGGUUUGAAUUUAGAAAACCUUAAACUAUGACCCUUCAUGUCAAGGUUUGUUACUACUCCUUUUGUCUAGUUAAAAUAUUUUGAUUUAUAAUGCAGAAAAAAAGAAAGGUUAAGAGAAUGGACAUUUCCUGGUUUAAGGAGGUGAACAAAAAUAACAAUUUGAACCUGGAGCAGACAUACACUUACUUUUAAUUUUUCGAAUUUGUAACACCUUUCUCUUUCAGAAUCAGCUGCCCACGUCAUUCCUCCGCACUGAGGGGCGAAACGGCCCACACGGUGGAGUGGAGAGAGUCCACAUGGAGAUGGGGAGCCAGGAAACGCACGUUUCCAGUUUGCUUCGCUACUACACUCGGAGAGAGCAUUUUGCUUUCUUGUGGAAGAACCUGGUGUUGCAGCAUCUGUCUGGCUUGGGGUCACUGUUCGUCAGUCUUGAUUCCUGCUGCUCCGGUCCAGGGGAUCCCCAGUCCUGGGAAGGUGAGAGGGGAAUGGAGGAGGCUUAGGGGACAUGGAAGCCUUCAUCUAACCCUGAUCCAUCUCUCAGCUACUAGUCAUUGUUGGAAGCCUCUGGGGAGCCACCACUGCCCCAGUCCCCACCUCUCAUGGUCUCAGGCUGGCUUGGGGAUGGCUUAUCCUGAGGUAAGCCAACGUCUUCUGGUUCCCUGUCAUGUCACAAGUCCCUGUUGCACUGGUAGGCAGCCCCUCUGGGGAGCUGAAGGAUGACACUGCUGGAUUUGCUCUUUUGAAUCAACACAAUUUGCUUGACCUCAGAGUCUCAUUCAUUCCAGGCCCUGAAC
rnacentral:lncRNA from 1 species